UACGUAGGUGGCAAGCGUUGUCCGGAUUUAUUGGGUUUAAAGGGUGCGUAGGCGGCUUUGUAAGUCAGUGGUGAAAUAUGGCAGCUCAACUGUCAAGGUGCCAUUGAUACUGCGGAGCUUGAGUACAGAUGAGGUAGGCGGAAUUGACGGUGUAGCGGUGAAAUGCUUAGAUAUCGUCAAGAACACCUAUAGCGAAGGCGGGUUGCUGGGCUGACACUGACGCUGAUGCGCGAAAGCCAGGGGAGCGAACGGG
rnacentral:rRNA from 1 species